UGAACGCUAGCGGUGCGUCUAACACAUGCAAGUCGAGCGACUAGUACACUGAAUCUGAAGUGCUUGCACUGAUGAUGAUGUGGUUCUACUAGGAGCGGCGAACGGGUGAGUAACACGUUGGUAUCUACCCCCAAGUCAGGGAUAACCCAUUGAAAAAUGGAUUAAUACCUGAUAUUCUGGAAACAGAAAAGGCUUAUGUCGCUUGGGGAGGAGCCUGCGUCCUAUCAGCUUGUUGGUAAGGUAAUGGCUUACCAAGGCAAUGACGGGUAGCUGGUCUGAGAGGACGGUCAGCCACAAUGGAACUGAGACACGGUCCAUACUCCUACGGGAGGCAGCAGUGAGGAAUCUUCCACAAUGGGCGAAAGCCUGAUGGAGCGACACCGCGUGAAGGAUGAAAGCCGAAAGGUUGUAAACUUCUUUUCUGAGGGAGCAUAAUGAGAGUAUCUCAGGAAUAAGGGACGGCUAACUACGUGCCAGCAGCCGCGGUAAUACGUAGGUCCCGAGCGUUACCCGGAAUUAUUGGGCGUAAAGCGUGCGUAGGCGGAUAAAUAAGUUGGAUAUGAAAGACCGAAGCUUAACUUCGUGUUUGUAUUCAAAACUGUUUAUCUAGAGUACGGAAGAGGUAAGCGGAACUGUGUGUGUAGGGGUGCAAUCCGUAGAUACACACAAGAACACCAAAAGCGAAGGCAGCUUACUGGGACGUUACUGACGCUGAUGUACGAAAGCGUGGGGAGCGAAAAGGAUUAGAUACCCUUGUAGUCCACGCCCUAAACGAUGGUCACUAGGUGUUGGGAUUUUUUCCCAGUGCCGUAGCUAACGCGUUAAGUGACCCGCCUGAGAAGUACGGUCGCAAGAUUAAAACUCAAAGGAAUAGACGGGGACCCACACAAGCAUUGGAUCAUGCCGUUUAAUUCGAUGGUGAACGAGGAACCUUACCUAGACUUGACAUGCCAGGAACUCCCUGGAAACAGGGGGGUGCCCGAAAGGGAAUCUGGACACAGGUGCUGCAUGGUUGUCGUCAGCUCGUGCCUUGAGGUCUUCGGUUAAGUCCGUUAACGAGCGUAACCCAUAUCUUUAGUUACUAUGUCUAAAGAGACUGCCUUGGUAACAAGGAGGAAGGUGUGGACGACGUCAAAUCAGCAUGACUCUUACGUCUAGGGCUACAGGCAUGAUACAAUGGUCAGUACAAAGAGUAGCAAAAUGGUAACAUUGAGCAAAUCUCUAAAAGCUGAUCUAAGUCCGGAUUGAGGUCUGCAACUCGACCUCAUGAAGUUGGAAUUGCUAGUAAUCGUGAAUCAGCAAUGUCACGGUGAAUAUGUUCCUGGGUCUUGUACUCACCGCCCGUCACGGCAUGGGAGGUGGUAAUAUCGGAAGCCCCUCCGAUAAUAGGGGGGUCCAUGGUAGGACCACUGACUGGGCUGAAGUCGUAACAAGGUA
rnacentral:rRNA from 1 species